ACGGUACCUAACCAGAAAGCCAGGGUUAAUUACGUGCCAGCAGCCGCGGUAAUACGUAGGUGGCCAGCGUUGUCAGAAUUAUUGCGCGUAAAGGGCUCGCCGGCGGUUUAUUAAGUUUGAUGUGAAAGCCCCCGGCUCAACCGCGGAGGGUCAUUGGAAACUGGGGAACUUGAGUGCAGAAGAGGAGAGUGGAAUUCCACGUGUAGCGGUGAAAUGCGUAGAGAUGUGGAGGAACACCAGUGGCGAAGGCGACUCUCUGGUCUGUAACUGACGCUGAGGAGCGAAAGCGUGGGGAGCGAACAGGAUUAGAUACCCUGGUAGUCCACGCCGUAAACGAUGAGUGCUAAGUGUUAGGGGGUCUCCGCCCCUUAGUGCUGCAGCUAACGCAUUAAGCACUCCGCCUGGCGAGUACGGUCGCAAGACUGAAACUCAAAGGAAUUGACGCGGGCCCGCACAAGCGGUGGAGCAUGUGGUCUAAUUCGAAGCAACGCGAAGAACCUUACCAGGUCUUGACAUCCUCUGACAAUCCUAGAGAUAGGACGUCCCCUUCGGGGGCAGAGUGACAGGUGGUGCAUGGUUGUCGUCAGCUCGUGUCGUGAGAUGUUGGGUUAAGUCCCGCAACGAGCGCAACCCUUGAUCUUAGUUGCCAGCAUUCAGUUGGGCACUCUAAGGUGACUGCCGGUGACAAACCGGAGGAAGGUGGGGAUGACGUCAAAUCAUCAUGCCCCUUAUGACCUGGGCUACACACGUGCUACAAUGGACAGAACAAAGGGCAGCGAAACCGCGAGGUUAAGCCAAUCCCACAAAUCUGUUCUCAGUUCGGAUCGCAGUCUGCAACUCGACUGCGUGAAGCUGGAAUCGCUAGUAAUCGCGGAUCAGCAUGCCGCGGUGAAUACGUUCCCGGGCCUUGUACACACCGCCCGUCACACCACGAGAGUUUGUAACACCCGAAGUCGGUGAGGUAACCUUUAGGAACCAGCCGGCCGCAAUAGGGAUC
rnacentral:rRNA from 1 species